GAGUCCUACGGGAGGCAGCAGUGGGGAAUAUUGCACAAUGGGGGAAACCCUGAUGCAGCGACGCCGCGUGAGUGAAGAAGUAUUUCGGUAUGUAAAGCUCUAUCAGCAGGGAAGAAGAAGGACGGUACCUGAGUAAGAAGCCCCGGCUAACUACGUGCCAGCAGCCGCGGUAAUACGUAGGGGGCAAGCGUUAUCCGGAUUUACUGGGUGUAAAGGGGGCGCAGACGGCGAUGCAAGCCAGGAGUGAAAGCCCGGGGCCCAACCCCGGGACUGCUCUUGGAACUGCGUGGCUGGAGUGCAGGAGG
rnacentral:rRNA from 1 species